AUUGAACGCUGGCGGCAUGCCUUACACAUGCAAGUCGAACGGCAGCACGGGAGCAAUCCUGGUGGCGAGUGGCGAACGGGUGAGUAAUAUAUCGGAACGUGCCCAGUAGUGGGGGAUAACUGCCCGAAAGAGCAGCUAAUACCGCAUACGACCUGGGGGUGAAAGGGGGGGAUCGCAAGACCCCUCGCAAUUGGAGCGGCCGAUAUCAGAUUAGCUAGUUGGUGGGGUAAAGGCCUACCAAGGCAACGAUCUGUAGUUGGUCUGAGAGGACGACCAGCCACACUGGGACUGAGACACGGCCCAGACUCCUACGGGAGGCAGCAGUGGGGAAUUUUGGACAAUGGGCGCAAGCCUGAUCCAGCAAUGCCGCGUGCAGGAAGAAGGCCUUCGGGUUGUAAACUGCUUUUGUCAGGGAAGAAAUCCUCUAGGUUAAUACCCUUGGGGGGAUGACGGUACCUGAAGAAUAAGCACCGGCUAACUACGUGCCAGCAGCCGCAGUAAAAC
rnacentral:rRNA from 1 species